GGAGGGAACUCUGGAGAGAGGUAAGCCAGACUUACCCGCCGAAGGAGCAAGCUCGCCCAACUUAAUUGAUGGAUUCGAGUGAAACUCUCAGGCAAAAGGACAGAGGAGAUAAC
rnacentral:ncRNA from 2 species